GACGAACGCUGGAGGCGUGCUUAACACAUGCAAGUCGAACGAUGAAAUGGAGCUUGCUCCAUGGAUUAGUGGCGAACGGGUGAGUAACACGUGAAUAACCUGCCCUUAAUUUUGGAAUAACCCAGGGAAACCUGGGCUAAUACCGGAUAAGUAAACCUGAGGCAUCACAUGGUUUUGGAAAGUUUUUCGAUUAAGGAUGGAUUCGCGGCCUAUCAGCUUGUUGGUGAGGUAAUGGCUCACCAAGGCGACGACGGGUAGCCGGCCUGAGAGGGUGAACGGCCACACUGGGACUGAGACACGGCCCAGACUCCUACGGGAGGCAGCAGUGGGGAAUAUUGCGCAAUGGACGAGAGACUGACGCAGCGACGCCUCGUGAGGGACGAAGGUCUUCGGAUUGUAAACCUCUUUCAGCAGGGACGAAGCGAAAGUGACGGUACCUGCAGAAGAAGCACCGGCUAACUAUGUGCCAGCCGCCGCCGUAA
rnacentral:rRNA from 1 species